rnacentral:pre_miRNA from 1 species
AGCCGACGGAACGAGUAAAUCUCAUCCUAAUCUGGUAGACACAACACAAGGAAGUGCUACCGAUUUGGCUUGGGAUUGACUUGUGGAAUUGGCG